UACGUAGGGUGCAAGCGUUGUCCGGAAUUAUUGGGCGUAAAGAGCUCGUAGGCGGUCUGUCGCGUCGGCUGUGAAAACUCGGGGCUCAACCCCGAGCCUGCAGUCGAUACGGGCAGACUAGAGUGCUGUAGGGGAGACUGGAAUUCCUGGUGUAGCGGUGAAAUGCGCAGAUAUCAGGAGGAACACCGGUGGCGAAGGCGGGUCUCUGGGCAGUAACUGACGCUGAGACACGAAGGCCAGGGGAGCAAACGGG
rnacentral:rRNA from 1 species